rnacentral:rRNA from 1 species
GACGAACGCUGGCGGCGUGCCUAAUACAUGCAAGUCGAACGCUUCUUUUUCAUCGAACUUCGGUUCACCGAAAAGAAGAGUGGCGAACGGGUGAGUAACACGUGGGUAACCUACCCAUCAGCGGGGGAUAACACUUGGAAACAGGUGCUAAUACCGCAUAAUCUUUUUCUCCGCCUGGAGAGAAAGUGAAAGGCGCUUUUGCGUCACUGAUGGAUGGACCCGCGCUGCAUUAGCUAGUUGGUGAGGUAACGGCUCACCAAGGCCACGAUGCAUAGCCGACCUGAGAGGGUGAUCGGCCACACUGGGACUGAGACACGGCCCAGACUCCUACGGGAGGCAGCAGUAGGGAAUCUUCGGCAAUGGACGAAAGUCUGACCGAGCAACGCCGCGUGAGUGAAGAAGGUUUUCGGAUCGUAAAACUCUGUUGUUAGAGAAGAAUAAGGAUGAGAGUAAAAAGUUCAUCCCUUGACGGUAUCUAACCAGAAAGCCACGGCUAACUACGUGCCAGCAGCCGCGGUAAU